rnacentral:rRNA from 1 species
AGUGAACGCUGGCGGUAGGCCUAACACAUGCAAGUCGAACGGCAGCACAGUAAGAGCUUGCUCUUACGGGUGGCGAGUGGCGGACAGGUGAGGAAUACAUCGGAAUCUACUUUUUCGUGGGGGAUAACGUAGGGAAACUUACGCUAAUACCGCAUACGACCUACGGGUGAAAGCAGGGGAUCUUCGGACCUUGCGCGAUUGAAUGAGCCGAUGUCGGAUUAGCUAGUUGGCGGGGUAAAGGCCCACCAAGGCGACGAUCCGUAGCUGGUCUGAGAGGAUGAUCAGCCACACUGGAACUGGGACACGGUCCAGACUCCUACGGGAGGCAGCAGUGGGGAAUAUUGGACAAUGGGCGCAAGCCUGAUCCAGCCAUACCGCGUGGGUGAAGAAGGCCUUCGGGUUUUAAAGCCCUUUUGUUGGGAAAGAAAAGCAGCAGGUUAAUACCCCGCUGUUCUGACGGUACCCAAAGAAUAAGCACCGGCUAACUUCGUG